GCGAGGCUGUUGUAACGGUAGCAACCGACCCUUCCAAGGUUGUAGUAGGGGUUCGAAUCCCCUGCCUCGCU
rnacentral:tRNA from 1 species